GGUGACAGCGGGGUGGGCGGAGCCAAGCCCUAUGGCGACUGCAUCCCUGUGGGCGGGGCAAACGGUUACCAUGGCAACACUAAGAUGGGCAGAGCCAAUCCUAUGGCAACAGCGUCCCUGUGGGUGGAGCUAAGGGUCACCAUAGCAACACAUGGGGGUGGAGCCAAUCCUUUGGCUACAGCAUCCCUGUGGGCGGGGCUAAGGGUCACCAUGACAACACUAAGAUGGGCGGAGCCAAGCCGUACGGUGACAGUAUCCCUGUGGGCGGGGCUAAGAGUCACCAUGGCAACACAUGGGGGCGGAGCCAAGCCCUAUUGGCGACAAUAUCAGUGUGGGCGGGGCUAACGGUCACCAUGGCAACACAAGGGGGCGGAGCCAAGCCCUAUCGGUGACAGUAGCUCUGGGGGCGGGGCUAAUGGUCACCAUGGCAACACUAAGAUGGGCAGAGCCAAUCCUAUGGCAACAGCAUCCCUGUGGGUGGGGCUGAGUGUUACCAUGGCAACAUUAAAUGGGCGGAGCCAAUCCUAUUGGUGACAGAAUCCCUGUGGGCGGGGCUAAGGGUCACCAUGGCAGCACUAAGAUGGGCGGAGCCAAUCCCGACGGUGACAUUAUCCCUGUGGGCGGGGCUAAGCGUCACCAUGGCAACACUAAGAUGGGCGGAGCCAAUCCCUAUGGCAACAGCACCCCUGUGGGCGGGGCUAAGGGUUACCAUGGCAACAUUAAAGGGGCGGAGCCAAGCCCUAUUGGCGACAGUAUCUCUAUGGGCGGGGCUAAGGGUCACCAUGGCAGCACUAAGAUGGGCGGAGCCAAUCCCUAUGGUGACAUUAUCCCUGUGGGCGGGGCUAAGGUUCACCAUGGCAACACUAAGAUGGGCGGAGCCAAUCCCUAUGGCAACAGCACCCCUGUGGGCGGGGCUAAGGGUCACCAUGACAACACAAGGGGGCGGAGCCAAGCCCUAUUGGCGACAGUAUCUCUAUGGGCGGGGCUAAGGGUCACCAUGGCAGCACUAAGAUGGGCGAAGCCAAUCCUACGGUGACAUUAUCCCUGUGGGCGGGGCUAAAGGUCACCAUGGCAACACUAAGAUGGGCAGAGCCAAUCCUAUGGCAACAGCGUCCCUGUGGGCGGAGCUAAGGGUCACCAUAGCAACACAUGGGGGUGGAGCCAAUCCUUUGGCUACAGCAUACCUGUGGGCGGGGCUAAGGGUCACCAUGACAACACUAAGAUGGGCGGAGCCAAGCCGUACGGUGACAGUAUCCCUGUGGGCGGGGCUAAGAGUCACCAUGACAACACAUGGGGGCGGAGCCAAGCCCUAUUGGCGACAAUAUCAGUGUGGGCGGGGCUAACGGUCACCAUGGCAACACAAGGGGGCGGAGCAAAGCCCUAUCGGUGACAGUAGCUCUGGGGGCGGGGCUAAUGGCCACCAUGGCAACACUAAGAUGGGCAGAGCCAACCCCUAUGGAAACACUAUCCCUGUGGGCAGGGCUAAAGGUUACUAUGGCAACACUAAGAUGGGCGGAGCCAAUCCUAUGGCAACAGCACCCCUGUGGGCGGGGGUAAAGGUCACCAUGGCAACACUAAGAUGGGCGGAGCCAAU
ensembl:lncRNA